GUUUCGUAAACCUUAGGGACCUUUUGUGAUAAUAAGCCUCUUGGAAUUGGUAUAUUUUGGAUUUUAUAACUGUCAAAAUUGUUUAAUAAUCAAAGCAUUAGCACUGACAAGACCUUCUUAUGGAGCCAUUAGCCCCUCAGUCGUGUAGGAAAGGGACUUUGCCCAGUCAGCUUUGAGAAGCAGUGUUUGCAUCACAUUGUACUCGGGAUCAAGUUCCCGCUGCCAUCCCUGCAAAACAUAAUCAGUGAUGAGAUUUGUAUAAGAUCAAUUAUUGAUAACAUUUGUUAUGUAUUCAGACCACAUUCAGGUCCAGGAGCGUCUUCAAAAGUGCGUGUGUCCCAAUGUGAGCAAGCGCAGAUUUAAUCCGAGAUCAUGCCCUUGAAGAUCAUCGACACAUUCCCCUUGUUCAUAAGUUUCCACCAAAACAGAAGGAUGCUAGACAUGAUAAAAACUGCAAACUGCUGUGCACUCUCAUCCAAUCUCCACCACUUUAAAGCAGGAAUGAAGUUUGAAAUUUUUGCUACCAGAUUGAUUAUAACAAAAUGUCUACUAAUCGAUUCACAAACACCAGGAUGCCUAACCUUUACGGCAACUACCAUGGGCUUCACCUGUUGACCAGCUCCAUGCACUUGAGCAAUACUUCCAGAUGUUGCUGGUUUCUCUUCAAAAUUGUCAAAAAUCUCCGGGAGCUUGCGGCCAAAAGCUCGUUCGAUAGUUUUCUUCGUGUAGGCAAAGCUAUGUUCAGGAGCAUUGGUGUGAAGCUUUGAGAGCUUGGUGCAUAUAGAAAGAGCACCAACUAUAAACAAUUACGAGAAUUCCAGUGUAUCACCACAAAUUAAAGGAGAUUGAAUCAUCAGAAGAAAAAAAAUUAAAAAUUAAAAAA